UACGGAGGGAGCUAGCGUUGUUCGGAAUUACUGGGCGUAAAGCGCACGUAGGCGGCUUGGCAAGUCGGAUGUGAAAGCCCUCGGCUCAACCAAGGAAGUGCAUCCGAAACUGCUGAGCUUGAGUACUUAAGAGGAUCGCGGAAUUCCCGGUGUAGAGGUGAAAUUCGUAGAUAUCGGGAGGAACACCAGUGGCGAAGGCGGCGAUCUGCGAAGAUACUGACGCUGAGGUGCGAAAGCGUGGGGAGCAAACAGG
rnacentral:rRNA from 1 species